GGUCUGGUGGUCUAGUGGUAUGAUUCUCGCUUAGGGUACACCCUACAGCUUAUAUGCGAGAGGUCCCGGGUUCAAUCCCCGGCCAGACCC
rnacentral:tRNA from 1 species